rnacentral:misc_RNA from 1 species
UUUUUUUCAUUCUGGUUGUCUACAAAGGUGGAUGGAUAUCAAAAUGGAAUGCCCAACUUGCCGGCGACCACUGCCACCAGCUUAGGGAGAUUAUUCCACUUCCAUUUAUAUUACAUAGGAUUGAUUGGCACUUCCCAACUGUUAAUUCAGGUUGGGAAAAGAACCCCUAUUUUGGUUGGGUACAUCUUCAGAAGAUAGUUGAGAUAGAGGCAUAAGCAACAUUGAACUUUACUGAUGCUGCAACAAAUUGUACUUGACAUCUCUNUGACAUCUCUUGUAGUAAUUGUAUAAUGUAUAUCUUUAGCACACUCAUGGAAAUUUCAGAAAUGCAAAUUAUUUUCAAUUUCAUUGUUGGCGCACUGCAUUUUUCCCCCACUUUUGCAAAUAAAUUUUCUUAUGGUCAGGCUUAUGCAAUUUGGGCCGAGUGCUUGAUGGUGUUUCUGUUCCAUAGAAGUUGUAGCCUUGGUUACCAUUCACUUCAGAAACCCUCUCCCCUCAUCCAAAUUGUUGUAUUGGAUUCAGUUGAUGGAUAAUAAUAUAAUAGCCUGACCAUAAGAAAAUUUAUUUGCAAA